GUCCUGAUGCAAGUCUUUGUCCUAAGAGUUGAAGUGCGGGGUGUUAUACUGUAAGUGCUUUGAGGAAUAGAAAAGAGAACUCCUGUAGUGUUGCGACACUGUGAAGAGAGGAGGCAGUAAGGAGGUGCUGGUGUUUAUGCAGAGAUGGAGCUGCUCGUCCUGCUGCUUUUUUCCUGUGUCUUACUCUCUGAUGGGUUUAAUAUUGACGUGUUAAACCCAGAGCAAUUGUCUGGAAAUAAAGAGGAGUUUUUUGGAUACAGAGUGCUGCAGUAUCAGUCUGAUCAGAUGAAACAGAUAAUCGUAAGUGCUCCAUUAAGUGCAAACAGCUCUGGAGCGAUAUUUAAUUGCACAGUGGAGAAAGGGAACUGCAGCUCUUUGUAUCAGCCAG